rnacentral:rRNA from 1 species
UACGUAGGGGGCAAGCGUUGUCCGGAAUCAUUGGGCGUAAAGAGCGUGUAGGCGGCCACGCAGGUCCGUUGUGAAAACUGGAGGCUCAACCUUCAGACGUCGACGGAAACCGUGUGGCUAGAGUCCGGAAGAGGAGAGUGGAAUUCCUGGUGUAGCGGUGAAAUGCGCAGAUAUCAGGAAGAACACCAAUGGCGAAAGCAGCUCUCUGGGACGGUACUGACGCUGAGACGCGAAAGCGUGGGGAGCGAACAGG